rnacentral:lncRNA from 1 species
AAAAAUAAAAAAAAGAGAAAGAAAGAAAAAAAAGCCUGAACCGAGAAUGAAAAGAGAGGUUCGUGGUUUCUUAUAUAGAUUGAACUACAUGUCAUGGUUCACAUCUCAUCUAAUAACCACGGGUGAAUCCAUAUUCAAGCUGUUGAAAAAAAAGAUCAAACGGUCAGGUAAAAUAAUGAUUGCCAAGGGGCAUUGAAAAAAUAAAAGGAAAAGUUGCAGG